rnacentral:rRNA from 1 species
GUAGUCUGCAACCCGACUACAUGAAGCUGGAAUCGCUAGUAAUCGCAGAUCAGAAUGCUGCGGUGAAUACGUUCCCGGGUCUUGUACACACCGCCCGUCACACCAUGGGAGUUGGAAAUGCCCGAAGCCAGUGACCCAACCGUAAGGAGGGAGCUGUCGAAGGUGGAGCCGAUGACUGGGGUGAAGUCGUAACAAGGUAAC